rnacentral:tRNA from 1 species
AGUCUUAUAUUCAUAUUUGUGAUGAUGGAAUGCAAUUCUGUUGGGGUGGUAGUAAGUGUUAUACCACUAAGGCUU